rnacentral:rRNA from 1 species
CCCGCUGAACUUAAGCAUAUCAAUAAGCGGAGGAAAAGAAACUAACAAGGAUUCCCCUAGUAACUGCGAGUGAACCGGGAAAAGCUCAAAUUUUGAAUCUGGCGGUCUUCAGGCCGUCCGAGUUGUAAUCUAGAGAAGCGUCUUCCGCGCUGGACCGUGUAUAAGUUUCCUGGAAUGGAACGUCGUAGAGGGUGAGAAUCCCGUCUUUGACACGGACUGCCAGGGCUAUGUGAUGCGCUCUCGACGAGUCGAGUUUGUUGGGAAUGCAGCUCAAAUAGGGUGGUAAAAUCCCAUCUAAGCUAANUACAGGCGGAGAGACCGAAUAGCGAACAAGUACCGUGAGGGAAAGAUGGAAAAGAACUUUUGGAAAGAGAGUUAAACAGUACGUGAAAUUGCUGAAAGGGAAACGCUUGAUGUCAGUCGCGUCGUCCGGGGAUCAGCCUUGCUCUUUNGCUCGGUGUAUUUCCUGGUCGACGGGUCAGCAUCGGUUUUGACCGUCGGAAAAUGGCUCGAGGAAUGUGGCACCCUUCGGGGUGUGUUAUAGACUCGGGUCGAAUACGGCGAUUGGGACCGAGGAACUCAGCACGACCUUAGGGUUCGGGGCUUCGGCCCACGUUAACGUGCUUAGGAUGCUGGCAUAAUGGCCUUAAGCGACCCGUCUUGAAACACGG